AUACGGAGGGUGCAAGCGUUAUUCGGAAUCACUGGGCGUAAAGGACGCGUAGGCGGGUUGGCAAGUCAGAUGUGAAAUCCUACAGCUUAACUGUAGAACUGCAUUUGAAACUGCUAACCUAGAGUAUGGGAGGGGGAGAUGGAAUUAGUGGUGUAGGGGUAAAAUCCGUAGAUAUCACUAGGAAUACCGAAAGCGAAGGCGAUCUCCUGGAACAUCACUGACGCUAAGGCGUGAAAGCGUGGGGAGCAAACAGGAUUAGAAACCCUGUAGUCC
rnacentral:rRNA from 1 species